rnacentral:rRNA from 1 species
AUUGAACGCUGGCGGCAGGCCUAACACAUGCAAGUCGAACGAGUGGCGGACGGGUGAGUAAUGUCUGGGAAACUGCCUGAUGGAGGGGGAUAACUACAGGAAACGGUAGCUAAUCCCGCAUACCAUCGGAUGUGCCCAGAUGGGAUUAGCUAGUGGGUGGGGUAAAGGCUCACCUAGGCGACGAUCCCUAGCUGGUCGGAGAGGAUGACCAGGCAAACUGGAACUGAUACAAGGGCCAGACUCCUACGGGAGGCAGCAGUGGGGAAUAUUGGACAAUGGGCGCAAGCCUGAUACAGCCAUGCCGCGUGGAUGAAGAAGGCCUUCGGGUUGUAAAGUACUUUCAGCGGGGAGGCGUUACCCGCAGAAGAAGCACCGGCUAACUCCGUGCCAGCAGCCGCGGUAAUUC